UCCAGACUCCUACGGGAGGCAGCAGUGGGGAAUAUUGGGCAAUGGGCGCAAGCCUGACCCAGCAACGCCGCGUGAAGGAAGAAGGCUUUCGGGUUGUAAACUUCUUUUGUCAGGGACGAAGCAAGUGACGGUACCUGACGAAUAAGCCACGGCUAACUACGUGCCAGCAGCCGCGGUAAUACGUAGGUGGCAAGCGUUAUCCGGAUUUAUUGGGUGUAAAGGGCGUGUAGGCGGGAAUGCAAGUCAGAUGUGAAAACUAUGGGCUCAACCCAUAGCCUGCAUUUGAAACUGUAUUUCUUGAGUGCUGGAGAGGCAAUCGGAAUUCCGUGUGUAGCGGUGAAAUGCGUAGAUAUACGGAGGAACACCAGUGGCGAAGGCGGCCAACUGGGCUUUAACUGACGCUGAGGCUCGAAAGUGUGGGGAGCAAACAGGAUUAGAUACCCCAGUA
rnacentral:rRNA from 1 species